GCGAGCGGCGGAUGGGUGAGUAACACGUGGGGAACCUGCCCCUAAGUCUGGGAUACCAUUUGGAAACAGGUGCUAAUACCGGAUAAUAAAGCAGAUCGCAUGAUCAGCUUUUGAAAGGCGGCGUAAGCUGUCGCUAAGGGAUGGCCCCGCGGUGCAUUAGCUAGUUGGUAAGGUAACGGCUUACCAAGGCGACGAUGCAUAGCCGAGUUGAGAGACUGAUCGGCCACAUUGGGACUGAGACACGGCCCAAACUCCUACGGGAGGCAGCAGUAGGGAAUCUUCCACAAUGGACGCAAGUCUGAUGGAGCAACGCCGCGUGAGUGAAGAAGGUUUUCGGAUCGUAAAGUUCUGUUGUUGGUGAAGAAGGAUAGAGGUAGUAACUGGCCUUUAUUUGACGGUAAUCAACCAGAAAGUCACGGCUAACUACGUGCCAGCAGCCGCGGUAAUACGUAGGUGGCAAGCGUUGUCCGGAUUUAUUGGGCGUAAAGCGAGCGCAGGCGGAAAAAUAAGUCUAAUGUGAAAGCCCUCGGCUUAACCGAGGAACUGCAUCGGAAACUGUUUUUCUUGAGUGCAGAAGAGGAGAGUGGAACUCCAUGUGUAGCGGUGGAAUGCGUAGAUAUAUGGAAGAACACCAGUGGC
rnacentral:rRNA from 1 species